CAGCAGCCGCGGGAAUACAGAGGGUGCGAGCGUUAAUCGGAUUUACUGGGCGUAAAGCGUGCGUAGGCGGCUAAUUGAGUCGGAUGUGAAAUCCCCGAGCUUAACUUGGGAAUUGCAUUCGAUACUGGGAAGCUAGAGUAUGGGAGAGGAUGGUAGAAUUCCAGGUGUAGCGGUGAAAUGCGUAGAGAUCUGGAGGAAUACCGAUGGCGAAGGCAGCCAUCUGGCCUAAUACUGACGCUGAGGUACGAAAGCAUGGGGAGCAAACAGGAUUAGAUACCCCUGUAGUCCCUGUCUCUUAUAC
rnacentral:rRNA from 1 species